rnacentral:pre_miRNA from 1 species
GUACUACUCCCUCCAUUCAGAAUUACUUGUCGUAGAAAUGGAUCUAUCUAGACGUAUUUUAGUUUUAGAUACAUCUAUUUUCAAGACAAAUAAUUUCGAACCGAGGGAGUACUUA